rnacentral:rRNA from 1 species
GAUGAACGCUAGCGGCAGGCCUAAUACAUGCAAGUCGAGGGAGAAUGUUGGAUUCGUCUGACAUGAAACCGGCGCACGGGUGCGUAACACGUAUGCAACCUACCUUUAACUGGGGUAUAGCUCAGAGAAAUCUGAAUUAAUCCCACAUAAGACUACGACCUGGCAUCAUGACGUCGUUAAAGCCUCGGCGGUUAAGGAUGGGCAUGCGGUACAUUAGCUAGUUGGGGGGGUAAUGGCUCAACAAGGCUACGAUGUAUAGGGGGUCUGAGAGGAUGAACCCCCACACUGGUACUGAGACACGGACCAGACUCCUACGGGAGGCAGCAGUAGGGAAGAUUGGUCAAUGGACGCAAGUCUGAACCAGCCAUGCCGCGUGAAGGAUGAAGGCCCUAUGGGUCGUAAACUUCUUUUAUUAGGGAAGAAAAAACGGGAUGCGUCCUGUACUGACGGUACUUAAUGAAUAAGGAUCGGCUAACUUCGUGCCAGCAGCCGCCGCCG